ensembl:lncRNA
AUUUUUUAGUAAUAGAUUGUUUUUCAUAAAAUAACAUAACAUGGGAAUUAUAUCAUAAAUAUAUAUAUUUUCCAAAAGUAAAUACACAUGACAUUUCUCACUCAGCGAGGUAAUAACAGCACUAAUACACACAAGCUCUCUCUCUCUCUCUCUCUUUCUCUGUGUGUCUCUGUCUCUCUCGCUCUCUUUCUAAUAACUUCAUUAAUAACUGCAUUAGAAUGCUAUCAACGGCUCAAGCCUCCAUUACCAGCCUUAAAAUGGUGUUUUGGAACCAGCAAAAGAGGCGUUUGAUGAGAUGCGGAAGAAAUAAUCCUACUCACAAUAGCGAUUUAAGUACAAAAACCGGAUGAAUCCCUUUAAAGAUAUCAUCUGAUCGAUGUCUUGAAGUGUGGUAACCGUAGUCCUUGAUUCCGGUCCUUGAUUCUGAUUGGUUGAGCCGCGUUGUAAAUUACUCUACAAACACACAUUUGUUUAUUUCUGUGUGUUGCUCGGCAACCACUUUGUUGGAACCACAUUGUUUGGUGAAAGAAUACUGCUUUUAUUUAUAUCAUUACACUUUAUUUAACUCUGUUUUAUUCUGUGAAACCUUACUACUUAUAUGGAAUAACCGUUUUAUAAAAGCAAUAAGCCCCCGUGAAGCCGUGGUUUACAGUGAAUUUACAAAUUUGUAAACCACGGCUUCUUGGGGCUUAUAGUUAUAUAUCACACAACUACAAAAAAUAUGUAACUUGCAACAUGCAGGAAAUAAUGACAUAAUAAGUGACGAAAAAAGGAGGAGGAGGAACUAAAACCAGACAAGGGUAAUGUUUUCACAUCUGCACAGUAAGGAAAUACUUGAGGCUGCAACAUGAUGAUGAAUCUCCUUGCAGCCAUAUGGACCCUGACGCCUUUGAUUCUGUUGGGCACUCUUGCUGCUGACUGGACAGUGCGUGUUCCUAUGGAUCCAGUCUAUGCUACUUCUGGUUCUUCUGUAGUUUUGGAGUGCACCUAUGACUACCCUGAAGAAUCUGACCAGGGAAUACUACGCAAAGUGCUGUCAGAGAUGUGGUGUCUGAAUGAAAGCCGCUGCAUUACUCCCAGAUACGUGUACCACAGUGCAGGGAUAUUCCCUGAGCCCUCAUACCAGGGCCGAGUCAAGUACUUGGGGCAGACAGGAAGCAAAAACUGCUCUCUGAUGAUAUCUGAUCUGAGGUCAGAAGACAGCGGCGUGUACGUGUUCCGGUUCAUCACCAACCACCUGAAAGCCAAGCUACCAGGACAGAGAGGAGUGAAUCUACAGGUCACACAUCAGAUAAAAUCAAUAAGUGCAUCUUCAUUCAUUACUGGCAUUGUGCUUGGAGUUAUUAUCAUGGUUAUCAUAAUAGCAGGCAUUGUGGUACUCAUCAGACGCAAGUCACGGGGAGAGAGGUCAAUAUCACUUUAAACCAGCUAUUACCACAGAGGAUGAAAAAAAUUACUUUUGACUGUAAACAAAACAGAGAUGUAAAAGAUGCAAUUUUUAUUAAGCCAGCAAAAAAAGAAAACAGGAAAGAAAACCACCUCUCAUUCUACUCUCUUCAGCACAUCAUUUUAAUCAAAAAAGCACAUGCUAUUGUUUCUAAAACCUCAUUUAUUAAAAAUGAAGCAAUAUUCAUUAAAGGAACAGUUCACCCUAAAACAUUACUAUCAAUCUGUUGCUAUUUACUCACCCUUGAAUCUAUGAAGAACCUAGAUACAGUUACAGGUUGGGAAUAUAUAUAUAUAUAUAUAUAUAUAUAUAUAUAUAUAUACACACAUAUAUAUAUAUAUAUAUAUAUAUAUAGUAAGCAAUUUUCUUAAAUAGAAACAGACCAGUACUUAGUAUUUUGAUUUUAAUUUCAGUAAUUGCAAUAAAUUGUGUAUUAAU